rnacentral:rRNA from 1 species
CACGUAGGGGGCGAGCGUUAUCCGGAUUCAUUGGGCGUAAAGCGCGCGCAGGCGGCCGCUCAAGCGGGACCUCUAAUCCCGGGGCUCAACCCCGGGCCGGGUCCCGAACUGGGCGGCUCGGGUGCGGUAGGGGAGAGCGGAAUACCCGGUGUAGCGGUGGAAUGCGCAGAUAUCGGGUAGAACACCGACGGCGAAGGCAGCUCUCUGGGCCGUCACCGACGCUGAGGCGCGAAAGCCGGGGGAGC